UAAAUCUUUACAACCAUUGAAUCUUUAUGUUUUGACCAUGACAGUUUACAAUCUAAGGUAACACCAAGUAAUUUAGUCUCCUCAACUUGUUCAACAGCCAUUACCAGAUUCAGCUGAGGUCUAGAAUGCCGCAAUAGUGAUUAUUGGACGACACUACAACUCAUCAUAACAGACACGUGUAUCACCUCAAAUAUAACGACUCAUACUACAUUCAGUUACAUUCUACUAUUGUUUACAUAUUGCGCGUCAUGUUCAAUGGGCCAAGAGAAUGAAAAUACAAGCGACAGAACCUAGCAACACUUUCCAGUGGAUAUCUCCAACUCCUACUGCCAAAAGGACCAGCAGUAUGUACAACCGGAAAAUCUGAUGUUUAGGCAAGCCCCAAGACAGAGCCUCUCCAACCCAAAGUUGUCCAACCAUCCCUACUUCACCCUGGAGAGACUGGGGCCUGUGCUUAGACCGCUGGCAGGUUGAGGUACAGUCAGAGGCCUGAACAGCGACUCCUUCAACUCUAUCGGUUUCUUGCUUGUAGUCUUGUUUUUUUCUCGCUCUGAACUGCUGCUACUUCAUGUAGUAGGUGUAUGGAUGCUCCAUUUGUGUAACGGCAUUGUUGUCAUCUCCUCUUUCUCCUCUUUCUCUAAUGUUUAUCUUCACUGAUACGCAAGUAUUUUAAAGUGUGCCCGACAACUGAUGUAAAAGGGCUUUAUAAAUCAAUGUUAUUGUACGCAAGUCUUUAUACUGCAUGUACUGGUUAUCUAAUCUUUCUCACUGGUAGGGUUCUGUUUUUUUCCGAGAUGGUUUCACUACAACAGGUGAUGAUACCAGGCAAGUAAUAUGCCAGUCAUCUGACGAUUUCACUGUCAAUAGUUUUACUUUUCUUCUGACCAACACGUUCCUCGCCUUUCCCACCUUCCCGGUUCUCCCCCAGUGGACAGUGUGUGACUUGAGUUUAAAUCUGCGGUGGAUCGUGGACUUGUGCAACCUGUGGUUAUACUGGACCUCGCUGAGGUGCACUGGGGCCAGGCUGAAGGUCUAGGAUGAUCCGAGUCCAGUAUUAGCAGGAGAGGAGAUGAGCAGAUUCCCCUCUAUACUGGCUCGCUUCUGAGUGGCUCUAUCUGUCUGUCGGCGCACUACAGAUAUGCACCUUCUGA